AGUGAACGCUGGCGGUAGGCCUAACACAUGCAAGUCGAACGGCAGCACAGUAAGAGCUUGCCCUUACGGGUGGCGAGUGGCGGACGGGUGAGGAAUACAUCGGAAUCUACUUUUUCGUGGGGGAUAACGUAGGGAAACUUACGCUAAUACCGCAUACGACCUACGGGUGAAAGCAGGGGAUCUUCGGACCUUGCGCGUUUGAAUGAGCCGAUGUCGGAUUAGCUAGUUGGCGGGGUAAAGGCCCACCAAGGCGACGAUCCGUAGCUGGUCUGAGAGGAUGAUCGGCCACACUGGAACUGAGACACGGUCCAGACUCCUACGGGAGGCAGCAGUGGGGAAUAUUGGACAAUGGGCGCAAGCCUGAUCCAGCCAUACCGCGUGGGUGAAGAAGGCCUUCGGGUUGUAAAGCCCUUUUGUUGGGAAAGAAAAGCAGCAGGUUAAUACCCCGCUGUUCUGACGGUACCCAAAGAAUAAGCACCGGCUAACUUCGUG
rnacentral:rRNA from 1 species